rnacentral:rRNA from 1 species
UACGUAGGGGGCAAGCGUUGUCCGGAAUCAUUGGGCGUAAAGAACGUGUAGGCGGCCCGGUAAGUCCGCUGUGAAAGUCGGGGGUUCAACCCUCGAAAGCCGGUGGAUACUGUCGGGCUAGAGUGCGGGAGAGGCGAGUGGAAUUCCUGGUGUAGCGGUGAAAUGCGCAGAUAUCAGGAGGAACACCGAUUGCGAAGGCAGCUCGCUGGAACGUAACUGACGCUGAGACGCGAAAGCGUGGGGAGCAAACAGG